UCUUUACAUUCAGGAAGGGUGCAGAGGGCUGGAUUUCUGGAGAAAGUACGAACGCAUUUCUUCCUUAGUUCCUCUUAACAUCAAGAACUUGAGUUUCAAGCUGUGCUAAAUGUUAGUUCUAUGUCUCCCUUGUCAAGGCUGGCCAGCUUAUCUGACUGAGAGGAAGGUUGUUGCAUUUGGAAACAGGACGUGCAGAUGUUUGCCAUCAGGACAAAGGCAUAAAGCACCAGCAGACGCAGUAAGGAGGGAAUAAAGGUUGAAAAGGUGAUGCAGGGGGAUUGCUGCCUCUUCAAAUGCCUGGGGAGAACUGGAGACUUCAUUCUUGACUAAUAAAGCAGCUGAAAAUCAAGAUCCACACUUUUAUUUCCUGGACGUUCCAAUCAUACGCACUGUAUCACAUUGCAGAUAAAGUUUGCUCACUUGCCACAGGCCUGAAGAAUAUCAGACUUUCCAUGAUUCUGAGCACCUCUGGGACUUCAAACCACAUUUGCAGAUGAAUACUGCGUGAUGCUGUCCAAAGCAAGUGAGAGGUCCUUGAGUGCGGAUUGCCUCAUCGGCUUCUGUUUCCAAUAUCAUCGAUAAACUUACAGCCCCAACUGUUACUCAUAAAAAAGAGAAACCCAAGAGAUGCUCAGAAUGUUGAAAAGUUUUAUUUUCUGCAGUUUCAUGAGGGCUGAGAAGGCUACAUCUGCUGUGUGAUAUGAUCAAAAGCUCCAGGACAAUAUCAUGACCAGACUUUAAGAGGAUUGUUUCGCAAACACCUAAAAGCAGCUUUUCAUCACUUUCACAGUUCGAAUAGUGCUUUUGAGAGUGCACACGUUUGUAUUUAUUUAAGUAGAGUUUGACAUCAAAUCAUCUCAUUGUGAAAAACCCCACCCACCUAACACUUGGUCGGUAAAAGCAAACACAUUUUGAAUCGUACUUGACCCUAGUCUGCAAAACAGUGUGCUGCCAGCUGAAAAGGCAAACAGCACCAGUGAAUGUAAAGAUCAAACUUGCCUGACUUUUAUUAGGUUUCCUCUUGAGUGGGUCUUAGCUGGAAAUACACUUAGAUCUAAAUGUGUGAUAUUUGUGCUGCACUCUAACUUUGACAUUUUUGUUCCAUUAGACGAUUCAUUUCUAUCCAAACUCCUUGAAUGCAGUUAAGUGUUUGAUAUGACGCUGAAAGAGAGCUUUGUUUUUUUUUCAUGUGUUGAUGUAUUUGGCUUUAGGCAUGUACUGAGACAUAGACUCAAUGAACAACAGCUUUUCUUUCAAGGGCAAAAACUUCUCCAGGAGUGAACACAGAAUAAACUCACUCAGACUGUUGGCCAGUUAUUACGUGACUCUAGACAUUUUACUGUAGAUUCAUCAUGACCCAGGGUGGCAAUGUGAUGCCAGCCUGGCUUAGAGCAAAGAAUAUUUACCUCAGUGAAUCCCUUUGUAUGCUUGUGUCAUAAAAAGUGAACCACAGUGAACUGCUUGUCCUGUGAAGACCAUGUUUUGUGGGUUAUGGCAGGUAAUGGGAGGGUAAUAGAAAUGCUGGGCAGAGCUAGAGGUUAGGGCAAGUGGGUAAUAGCACCCAGAUGUGUUCCUGAUGUGAGGCAACAGUCAGAAUGCUUUGCUAUGUAAAUUAAGAGAAGAUAUCCCAUUUUCCAUCUUUAUACUGAUGUUAUCUAGGUACGAGUCAAGCAAAUCAAGCUCGUGGCUUAGGCCAGAUUGGAACCCCAGCUCUGUGUUUGUUGACAAGGUUUAUUUGUAUUUGCACGUGUGUGUAGAGUAUUUUCCUGUGUGUUGACAGCUACUAGCUUGUACAUGUUAAAAUUGAUUCAUAUGAGCAUUCCUCUCUGACUUUCUAAAGCGCAGAGUUUUUAGAUCAUCCUUAAUCCAAAGCUCUAAAAAUAGACCCAUGAUCUCACUCUUUUCAUCGAUCUGGGCCACAAUCCAGCCGAACACCAACACCACAUACUGUAUCAAUUACAUGGACCCUACGGAUUAGUCAGUGACACAAAACACAUGUUUUCCCUUUCCAUGAUUGGGUCUGUAGAACUCUCUGUACUACCUAUGAACAUGGUGCAGUUCCAUUAGAUCUAGGAAGUCCAAAAGUGUUGUGAUAGCGCUGCACUUGUGUGGAGAAAGUCCUGGCAGUAUGGAUAUUUAAGAGACUCUGAGUCAGUAUCUUCUGCUGACCUUUAGAAGCAACCAGUAGUAAUUAAAAAAAAAAAAAAACAUCAUCAGCAUUGUCAUCUGCCGUGGUGCCUGUUGAAUCACAAUGGAAUCGUAUUGUUACAGCAGGGAUGACACGGUGAACUCCUCAAACCACAGGCCAUGUAGAAAUCUCUAAAAAAAGGUCAUGUCUCACUCUAGAAGAUACUCUUGAAUUAAUGCUUUGGCUUGUGUUGGCUAUGAACUUGCCUGGAGGAUUGGAGAGGUUUUGGACAAAAACGUGACCAAGAAGAAAUCUCAGCAUUGUUUUGGCAUAUGUGCUCAUCUUAUAGGACAUCAAAAAAUUAUAAAAGUGCUCAGUCUUUCCUUAUUGUUCACUGCUUUAUACUGCCUCCAUAUUGUGAUUAAGUAGUGCUGGAUCAACUACCUUUCACUAAUACUGUUUUGAACAACAGCUGCACCAAAAUACAUGGGGUGCCAAAGAGUUGAAACAAAACUGGUUCACUACUUACAUGCAUUAAAUACAUUUUAUGUGUGUUUCAGUA